rnacentral:rRNA from 1 species
UAAUACGUAGGGUGCAAGCGUUAAUCGGAAUUACUGGGCGUAAAGCGUGCGCAGGCGGUCUUGCAAGACAGAUGUGAAAUCCCCGGGCUCAACCUGGGAACUGCAUUUGUGACUGCAAGGCUGGAGUGCGGCAGAGGGGGAUGGAAUUCCGCGUGUAGCAGUGAAAUGCGUAGAUAUGCGGAGGAACACCGAUGGCGAAGGCAAUCCCCUGGGCCUGCACUGACGCUCAUGCACGAAAGCGUGGGGAGCAAACAGGAUUAGAUACCCUGGUAGUCCACGCCCUAAACGAUGUCAACUGGUUGUUGGGAAGGUUCCUUCUCAGUAACGUAGCUAACGCGUGAAGUUGACCGCCUGGGGAGUACGGCCGCAAGGUUG